AUUGCAAGGUUUGGGGUUGGGGUUCUUUCCUUUCUGACUCUUGUUAUUCUCCCUUAUAAGGUUUUGUUUUGCUGUUUAUUAUGUGCAGUUUAGCUCUUCUGUCCCCCCACACUGCUUGGUGGGUUUUUAUAAUAGUGUGAGUUGAUGGGCUUUAAAAUCGUAAGCUAUUAUUUUCUAGUUUUUUUUCUUCUAAAAACAGUCCACCUCUCUUAAGCUUAGCUCUAGAGUUCUUUAAAUAAAACUCGAAUUGAAGAAAUAGUCAUAUUUCUGACAAGCUGUGAGACUUACCAAGGUCACUUUUGUUUGCUGUAUCACUUAAAAUACAAUUCCACUUACAAUUGCCUGGCAUGGAUGAGUGCAUUUUUUUAAUGUACAUAAUACUUUUUUGACAUUUGGAAAUGAGAAGCUAUGAAAAUAAGGUUGAUAAACCAGUAAAGAAGUCUUUCCUUAAAUGGUCACAAUCUGCCAAGAGCUGAUAAGAAAAAGGAUCCUGUGGGGACAAUGACAAGAAACUUACAGCCAUCAACCCCAUGUCAGCACUGGGCGAAAAAACAAAUAGAAUUCCAGACAAUUCAGAACAAAUACUACAAAUCAGAGAUGAUCCCCAAACCUCCUUUCAAUCUUACCCUUUUGAAAGACAACUAAGAAGCACAAAGGACAUUGGACAACUCCACACGAAUAGUUACACUGUGCCUUUUCUUUCGUCUUUCUUCUCUUGACCUCAAAUUAAAUUUGUUUUCAGUAAAAAGUUUUCUCUAUGGAGUAUAUCAUUUCAUCUCCAACAUAAAACACUCAAGAAGAGACUGAGGCAGAGCAAGGAUUCUAGACUCUAUUGACUUUAACCAAAGAAGUAGAGAUGCCUGAAAGUUUCCAACAGAUUGAAACUGAGAAGCACUAGACCAGAAAUCUAGUAGAUUCUGUGGGUCAAGAAUUCAGUCAAAGCACACUCCAAGGGACUGGACACCGAAAUGUUUCAAUCAGACUAUAAGAAGGCUGAGCUGAAGACUAGAAUUAGCUGAAGGCUGGCUCACUCACUUUUCUGGCAAUUGAUGUUCGCUGUUGUCCAAGGUCCACCUGGGGCCUCUCCAGUAGCCUGAACUUUACAAAUGAAGAUGGAUAACUUUCAUGACAUAUGCAUCUCUCAAGCAGACUGAAAAGAAAUUAUGUUUAAUAUUUACAUUUAAUGAAAUCAUAAUACACUGCUAAUCAAAUUGUUACCUUUUAAAUGGUUGGAUGGAAAAUCAGGGCUAAAACACUUGGAAGGAAAAGAAAAUAACUUCUAUAAUAUUGGUGACACAGACCUUAAAUUAGCAAAUUAAAGAACUCAUUGCAAUAAUGUAUAGCCAAGUCUGUUUUGAAUAUUUUUAGCAAUUGCCAAACUAUUUUUGAAUUCACUUAUAGAAGUUCAGGUUGUAAUCACAACUAAUUCAAAAGAAUCAUCCAAAGAUAACAAGAAUAGUAUGCUAUGUCAUCAUCCAGAAGGGACUGAAAGAAUCCUUUUUUUAAAAUGUUUAUUUUUGAGGCAGAGAGUGAGUAAGGGAGGGGGACACAGAAUCUGAAGUCGGCUCCAGGCUCAGAGCUGUCAGCACAGAGCCCGACGAGGGGCUUGAACUCAAGAAUCGUGAGAUCAUUACCUGAGCCAAAGUCAGAUGCUUAACCAACUGAGCCACCCAGGUGCCCCAAGAGAGGACUGAAGUAAUUCUAAAUGAUGGCUUUUUAUUUUCAGUGUGAAAAAACCUCCCUGUUCCCACUUUAUGACUUUUAGAUUGUUAAUGAAAUUGUUUCUGUUUGACUGAAUAAUACCCCUUAUGGACAGAACAUACAUUCCAAGACCCCCAGUGGAUGCCUGAAACCACUGAUAGUACCUGUCAGAAAACACUAUGUAUAUACCACUGAACAAUAUAUAUAUAUACUAUGUUUUUUCCUAUACAUACACACAUGUGAUGAAGUUUGCUUUAUAAAUUGGGCAUAGUAAGAGAUUAACAAUAAUAAUAAUAAAAUAGAAUAAUCAUAAAAAUAGCACUAAUAAAAGUUAAGUGAAUAUGGUCUCUUU